rnacentral:rRNA from 1 species
UACGAAGGGGGCUAGCGUUGCUCGGAAUUACUGGGCGUAAAGUGUGCGCAGGCGGCCGCGCAAGUCGAGUGUGAAAUCCCCCGGGCUUAACUUGGGAAUUGCGCUCGAAACUACGUGGCUGGAGUGUGGCAGAGGAAGGUGGAAUUCCACGUGUAGCGGAUGAAAUGCGUAGGAGAUGUGGAGGAACACCAAUGGCGAAGGCAGCCUUCUGGGCCAACACUGACGCUCAUGCACGAAAGCGUGGGGAGCAAACAGG